rnacentral:rRNA from 1 species
AUGGACCCGCGCUUCCCGCCGCCGGCGCCGUCCUCUGCUGCUGGUGGUGCGCCGCGCGGCCACCGGCGGGCCCACUCCGAGACCUUCAUCCGCUUCCCCGACGCGGACCUGCUGCUCGACCCGGACAGCGACUUCUCCUUCUCCGACCUCGACUUCCCCUCCCUCUCCGACGACUCCCCCGCCGUCUCCUCCGACCCCAACCCGCCUCCCCCGCCGCUGCCGCCGCAGCAGCAGGGGGCUGCCGCGUCCCCGUCGCCGGCGCCGCGGCCGCCCGGUGGCGGGGGCGCGCAUAUGAGGAGCCUCUCGCUCGACGCCGCCUUCUUCGACGGCCUCGCGCUGCAGGGAGGAGGCGGAGGCGGGGCGGGGCAUAAGAGGAGCGGCUCCAUGGAUGGAGCCAGCUCGCCGUCCGACGGCGAGUCUGCGCUGUCCGGUGGGCUGCCGGACUACGCCAAGAAGGCCAUUCCCGCCGAGAGGCUCGCUGAGCUCGCGCUCCUCGACCCCAAGCGCGCUAAGAGGAUUCUCGCGAACAGACAGUCGGCCGCGAGGUCCAAGGAGAGGAAGAUCAAAUACACAGGCGAGCUGGAGAGGAAGGUGCAGACGCUGCAGACAGAGGCGACCACGCUCUCGGCACAGCUCACGCUUCUUCAGAGGGAUACUUCUGGUUUAACUGUUGAGAACAGAGAGCUCAAACUCCGGUUGCAGUCCAUGGAAGAACAAGCCAAACUUCGAGAUGCUCUGAAUGAUGCCCUGAGAGAAGAAGUGCAGCGGCUUAAGAUAGCGGCAGGUCAAGUUCCAAACAUGAAUGGAAACCCCUUCGGCGGAGGGCUGCAUCAGCAUCAGCAACAGCAGCAGCAGAUUCCGAACUAUUUCUCGCAGCAGCAGAUGCACUACCAAGGUCAUCAGCAUCACCACCCCCAAAACCACUCCCAGAAUUCUUCAAAUGGAGGCCAGUCACUGAGUGGUCAGAGCGACUCCAUGGAUUUCAUGUGA